rnacentral:rRNA from 1 species
AGCAGCCGCGGUAAAACGUAGGUGGCAAGCGUUAUCCGGAUUUACUGGGCGUAAAGCGUGUGCAGACGGGGCUUCAAGUGGUGUAUGAAAUCGCUCGGCUCAACCGGGCGCGGGUAUGCCAGACUGGAGUGCUAGAGGGUGCGAGAGGGACGUGGAAUUCCGGGUGUAGUGGUGAAAUGCGUAGAGAUCCGGAGGAACCCCUGAGGCGAAGGCGGCGUCCUGGCGCACACCUGACGUUCAGACACGACAGCAUGGGGAGCGAACAGG